ACACAGGGCUAUUCUUAAAACAGAAAACUCAACAUGAAGUAUCUAUAAAGAUCAUAUUAGAUUUCAACCAGAGACCCUAUUUUGUGUUAUAAUGUCUCCUAAAGGUUUCUUAGUAUUUCUAAAGUCUUAACUAACACUAUUCUAGAACAACUUUUUCCUUUUCUCCUUAAAUGACGUUUUAAUGUGAAAUCUCAGCUUUUUUAUGCUGUAGCAAAGUAAUAUUCUCAGCAAAUGAUUAAAGAGUUAUACUUAACAAUAGUUCACCAUGUUUAGUGGUGAACUAAAGAGUGUGUGCCCACAUAAGGGUGAGAUUCGUACAAACUCAUGGGAGGAAGAACACACGCCAGUGUUUCAUGAGAUGCGGUGUUUUAAUGACAGUCCCAAAGCAAGAUCAUACACUCUUUUUUUUAUCUAAUACUUUUUGUCUUACAUAAAAAGAUGGUCUUACAUGGAGUAAAAAGUGAGCCACAGUGACAGCUUGUAAAUACUGUGCUACACUGUCUUAGUAGUACAAUCCAACAGCAAACAAAAAUGCAUCUAGCGCCUCAUUGGAACCCAUGCUAGUCCCCGACAUCCUAAACUGUGCUUCCCUGCUCCAUCUGGGUGGAGACUUAGAAUCAAACAAGUCUUCUCUCAAAGCAACACUGUAACAUGAAUGUAUUUAUCUUAGUCCACAGAACAUAAAACUCACUGUUUUUGGAGCUUACUCAAUGCUAGUUUUGCUCCGUCAGCAGUAUCUGCUCAGAUGAGACCAACAAGGAACAUAGCUAUAUGAAGUCGACGUAGGGUGGAUCUGUAUGUCAAGGCAGAGCCUGUGAGGAAGAGAACAUUUUCUCAGUACAUGUGGGGCAUGAUGCUGAGACUGGCUGUUCUCAGCAUCACGCACCUAAGAGAAAGGAAAUAAUCCCCACGUGCAGCUCCUACUGCAGCCCAUCCCUUCCUGCCUGCCUCCUCCUCCAAGUGCCUCAGCCUCUGCACACCCUCCUCCCUUCCCUUAGCCUAGCUUGAUCUGAAGGCCUUUCACACUCCAGACUAAACACCACCAACCACCUGCUGAGAGCCACCAGCACUUCACUGAGAACAUAACUGCCUCAUGCCAUUGAAGCUGCUCUCCCCCUUCUCUGUUCUGCCCAACCUUCGCCCCAACUCCCCACCAGAUAUUAUGCCACUUCCAAUGACAGCUUGUCCAUCUCAUUCUGUUUCUACCCCUAACCCUGUCCUGGAUGCCAAAGCAUCUUCCUCUCCUCUACCUCAUCCCCAAAGAGCCUAGCAGUUCAGAGUAUCCAACCUGUUCACGAGUUCAGCAAUACUACUAACAUAUUUUAAAUAAAUCAUAAAAGAUUUUUGCCCUGUAUCAAGGAAGGAGUCUUUAUACAUGAAUAAAAAAAUCGAGCUAUUUCUUCCAUGCAGAAUUUAGCAUUUAGCAAGAUUUUAAAGUGAUUGAAUUGCUAUCCUAACUUAGAUUGGCCUACAGAAGAUAAUGAAUACUGAUGUUAGUCUGAGUUGCUAGAAUGCAAAGUUAAAUUGAACAUUUCCAGCAAUCCAGACUGACCUUCAAUCUGUUUGUGGGACAGGGGAUCUCUGGGCAUCAGUGGAGCGAAGCAUUUCAGACACUUGUUAAAUAAGCAUUGUUUAGGCCUUGAAGCCCAUUUCUCACAGAAGCCCAUUUGGCUUGUGAUGUAGAUAAAAUACCAUGAAAUGGGUUACAUACAGUUUGACCAGGCUUCCUUGGUUAGACUGAGCUUCUAGACCACCAUUUCUACCCUGUUCUCUUUGAGAGAAAAUGUAUCUUGUGAGAAGAAAGGGAGUACAUUGACUUUAGUCUCUCCUCCCUGGCUGCAUGUCAGCUGUGCCCACAUAGCAUCAUCAGAGGAAGAAAAUGAACAUGUUUUCCCCUCCAGCCAUUUUGCACUCCGUAUUGUCCAUUUCCAGUGUGGAGCAUGUACAAAUAUGCAUGGUUGGCUGAGCUGAGGAUGAACUACCCUGCUUGAAAGUAAAGACCACAAUGAUCUCUGGUGGUCACUGAUGUUUCCAUCUCAGUCUCCAGUGGCCCAGUCUAACAAUGCCUAGCACAUGCUUUUAAUGGCCAAAGAAUGAGCCAAGGGCAUAGUUAAGAAGUAAGACUUUGAAAGAUAAAGUAAAAUCAUACAUCCUAAGUGUUGAUUCUAGUAACCGAAUAAUGACUUUGCCACCAUGAAAUACAGACCUGGUCAUCAGAAGUACAGGGAGAAAAAAGAAGAGAGUAGUUCUUUGAAUGCUUGUGGAAUUCUUUGAAAUGUAGUGCAUAUGAUAAAAUAGCCUAUAGAACAAAUACCCAUAAGACAACCUCAAACACUAGUAAGUCAAAAGAUACUGAAUAUAAUUUUGGUAUAUACAUUUUUUCUAAAACAGUCUAUUUUCUUGCACCACUCAUCUCUUAAAAAUAAAUAUAUAAUUUCUAUAGGAAGAAUAGUAAGGAGAAAUGAUCUCCACUUUUUAGUGUCAAAAUACUGUUCUCAGAUCCCAAUUAGUAGUUAAGUAUAUAUAUUAUGAUCUAUAAUAAAACUAAUUGUGCAUCUCUUUCUUAAGUCUUAAUCAGUCUUUACAAAUUUCUAUCGGGCUUUCCCUAGUCCAGAAAGAAAAGAGCAAGAAAUAGGAUGAAAAAAAUGUAUCACUUGGGUGGCCAAAAAUUUUCCCUUUUGAAAUCAACAGUAUUUUCUUCCUUUCUGAGUUUCACUGGUUUUCUAAAAUAAAAAUCAAGUUAAAUAAGGUACCCUUAUUUUCCUAAGAAAGUUAUCUAAAUUGUACGUCUAGUGCAUAUAUUUCCUUUGCAUUCAUGUCUUCUCUGAGGAGAAAGUACAAAUUUUCCUUUCUCUUGAUCCUCAUAUUUACUCUUUUAACCCAAAAUAAGAUAGACAGUGGGAGCAGACCUUGCCCCCCGGGUGUCUUCCGUGCUAACUGAACAGGACCUCCACCCCUGGACCAGCUCCUUCAAACCUGGCGUGUCCUGUAACUUGUAGGAUUUGGACUUGAAAACGUGUUUUUUUUAAAUCCUGAUUUUGCAGGGCAGCUACAUAAUGAAUGUAUAUAUUAAGACUUUGUAGCUGAAUUGCACAUGAAAUCAGAUUGCCAACUUUGUGACUUUCAAUGGUAGACAUAAUUUUAUCUUAAGUUGUGAGCGAUAUAUGUAGCAUGCUGUGAAACAUCUAUUCUAGCUCUUUAAUUCAUCAGUAUUAAUAUAGAAUUACCUUUGCCUUCCUUGGUACUUUCUAUUCAGUGUAAUCAGAAGCUGUGAUGUUUUGCCUUUGUAGUCAGUCCUGUGCUUUGUUACUGUAAUUUGGAUUUUUUUGUUGUUGUUUCGCUAAGCACAUGACUUUGGACUAAGGUUAGGAGUACCUUUAAGAUGUCUCUUCUUACUCUGUAAGGUUUUAAAUUAGAAUAAGCUUUUUGUCAGGUUGACCAGUGAUACAAUUUUGGAUUCAUACACGUUUCAUUGUCAGAUGGCAAAUUUCUAUUUACAGUUUCAAUUCUGAAAACAGCAAAAGUAAUAAGCAAGCUACGUUCAGUGUUGUGAUGGGCUAGACUCUGCUGUGGAAGUAGUGUAACCAAAUUAUCAGCCUUUCCAGCUCUUCAUGCCCUCCUCAUGAGAGUCAGUGCUUAAAGAGACUACAAGAGAGAUGUAUAUGCAUAACUAGGUUUUAUUUUUCUUUUGUUGCUGGUUUUACAGUUCUGACUAAAGCUGACAGACUGGGUUGGCUCAUGUGUAGUGGUCCAGGGCUUUAAUGCCUGUUGUUGCUGUCCUUUUUGUUGUUGUGUUUUCUUUCCUUUGGAGGGAUGGAUAAUAUUAUUAGAACAGAUGCAGAAGGAACCAUUAAUGAAUCAAGACAAACAUAUUUGAAAUAAAAGAACUGUGUCUUAACAUGUUAACAAUUCAUAACUGCACUUUUUAUGAUAUUUUGAAAAUCUAUUUAUAGGUACAGAACAAUGGGGUUUUGUUAAACUGUAUCACAUUUAUACUUGCAGAAAAUUAUUUCAUUGUUAUUAGUAGAAAUUUUAUUGGUUCAAUAAAAUUGACAAAACUGAG